AAAUUUGAGUAAUCGCUGCGUCUGAAAAAUGGCGUAGAGGAAAGUCCAUGCUCACACGGAUCUGAGAUGACCGUAGUGUUCGUGCUUACUGAAUCAAUAAGGUAAGGUAGCUUAGCGGCUAACGGCAGAAGGAAAACCUAAGUCUUUUAGAUAUGGUUGAAACUUCUUGAAAGUGCCACAGUGACGGAGCUUAUAAGGAAACUUAUGAGGUGGAACGAGGUAAACCCCACGAGUGAGAAACCCAAAUUAUGGUAGGGGCAUUCUUCUGAAGGAAUUGAACAGAUGAAGAGACGCACAUAGUUGCGUAGAUAGAUGAUUACUGCUCAUGGUACGAGGUUUUAUAACUGUUUGAGUACCCGAGAACAAAACAUGGCUUAUAAAA
rnacentral:RNase_P_RNA from 1 species